GGAAAGUGAUGUUCUACUAUUAGAAAUGCCUGCAGGCCAAAAAGAAAAAAAAUCCUGUGCAGAGAUUUUAAAAGGAUUUUCCAACUGCUUUAAAGCUCAGAUCCUACACUAAAUAUCCUCCUAAAGCACAUAGAAUUUGAGAAGUGCAGAAGCUUUUGGUCAUGUUCAGAGAAGCCAGAAACCACCAGGAAAAUGUCCACGCUGUCAGAAGCCUUUACCUACGAGGACACUCAUCCCUCUGCAGUGUGCUAUCAGGAAUUAGAGUGCUUGGCGAGCCCCUGCUCUCUAGAAGAGUCAUCAUCAAAGCCUGGACAGUGGUGUGAGUCUCUAAACUGCAGGAGCAAUGAUCUGCAAUGAUGACCCGCAUGUGGGAGCAGGCUUUCUCUCUUAUACAGGUAUAAAUUUAUGAGGAAGAUCCACCUCUGUCCAGGGUAAGAUCAUCCCCUUUUCCACUUGCAUUUAUCCUACAGGCUUGAGCCUGAAUGGAAAGGGAAGCUACAUUAAGACUAAAUUAUUUAUUGAGACUUCAGUUUGUGUGGUGAGACACUAGAACACGUUGCUCAGAUAAAAUGUGGAUGCCCCUUUGUUGGAAGUGGUGCCCAUCACAGGGCAGGGUAGGACUACAGACAAUUUUAUUCAUGUUGAAGACUUUUGCCAGUUUUACAUGACAAGAAAAACUCCUGUUCUUAUUCAAAGUUCAUUGAAGAAAUGGCUCUGGCACAUGUGCAAUCUGUAUCAACUAAUUUUACACCCUGGUAGCUAAUGGAGACCAUCACACAUUUUGUCUUUUAAAGGCAUGAUGAGGUGGCUAUUGUGAGUUUUUGGGAUCUUCAGACUUUUUUAUCAUUCCCCAAUGAGCAUUCCCUAAGUGCAGCCCCAUACCCUGUGAGUCUGUCCUGUUCCUUCACAUGAUUACACAUGAAAAUGUCAAGAGUUCUUCUGAAUACUUUUACCAGGAAAAUUAGGCUAAAAGUCACUUUAUCUUUUAAGCUGUGUAUACACAUGCACAUGAGCGCACACACACUCACACUUCUGUGCCUCCUCCUUGUGAAGUCCACUUUACUAAGCAUGAUCUACCCUUUUAAAUCCAUGCAGAGCCUCAUGACUCACUUUGUACUUGUCAACAUUUUCUAGCUUGUUGCUGACCGGUGAUACCAAAUCUUCCUUCAUAUAAAUGUCAGAUAUUUAAAAAAUCCUCAUUUUUUUUCUCUGGGAUAUCUGCAUAUUUGAGAAGAAUUUUAUUAGCCUACUUUGGGCUCUCAUUUUAACUCCUCUUUUACACCAUUAUUUUGAACAAUCCUGUCUUUCUUAUGCUUAUUCCAGUGAAGAGACAAAAAUAUUUUAUUUUAAAUAUAUUCCAGCAAAAUCAGAGUGAACAUUAGCUGUCUAUAAGGGUUAACUCAUUACUGAAAAGCAUGCCUGAUAAAUUGGAAGUGUGGCUCUCAGCCAAGAGAGAUCAAUAUAUUCUGAGCAUUCAUUUUCUGCCUUCAGAGUGGCAAAUCCUGUUGCUGGUAUCAGAUGUGAUACAGCUUCUGAAAGAAGCAACCUCAGAGGCAAAUUCAUGCUUUGCUAUUCAGAGAACUAUCCACUAACAGUGUACAUGAAUUAAGGGCAUGCCUUACUUAUUGUUGUAGCGUUGUAUCUGGAAUUGCAAAUUGUAACUGAGAAACAAAAAGAAGCCAUAAACAACUUUAAAAUAAGUCAAAUUCCAUUUUCAAAAUAUCAUGUGAAGUGUCUAGUAAUGUAAAAGCUUUAAGAGGUAUUUAUUAAGCUCCUUGACAUAUUUUAACCCCAAAUUUCAGCCAUAUUUUCACCCCAAAUUUCAGCCAUAUUUUCUUCUAUUCUGAGUACUAAAAUCAGUAAUUCACAUGCGUGAUGGAGUUGUUAAUCCAAAAGCAUUCCCAUAAUCUCAGUAUGGAUCAGUAAAGAGCUCCAGUCAAGCUGUCUGCAAGUGAAGCCGUCAUAGAACAAUGUAUGAUUUAAGAAUAACUAAACAGCAGUUAACCUUCCCGUUUUAAAAGAAAGUAAAUAUUCCACUUUUUUUUUUCCUUACAGACUCAUUUUGCUUUAUAAUCCCUAUUUCAUAAUUCCCUAUCUGCAAACUUUAAUUCAGCAGCUUUGUAUUUAAUUUACAUUGUGUUUGAAUUACACUGUGUUUAAUUUACAUCUACACAAGAGCAAGGAACAGAAGUCAGGCUUUGACAAAUCCAGGCCGUAUUAAACCUAGUCAAAUUCUUUCCAAAGGAAAAAAUGCAGAGCCCCAGUGCUAAUAUUUCUUUGAUGUCGUGGAAUUUAUGGAAGAUUAUAAAUUUAAUAAAAAAUUAUAUUUAUGGUUGCUCAUCUACUACAGUCACAGAGGUCUAUAAGAAGGCUUUUGGGGGGCCUUCAGUUUCCUCUGGCAGACUAUGAACAGAAUGAAACACACAUCCUGGGCAUGGUGAACACCUGUGUGCUUGCUGCCUGCUUCACCCAGUCACGCUGAAUGAAGCCUUCACCCAGUGCCUCCAGUGCACCAACGUUGUCCCGAGCAUCAGAGCCAAGCCUAUGGAGAAGGGAAAGUUUUGUGUAAUAGGAGAGGGAAGACUAAAGUAGCCUUUCCCAGGUUUCUCUGCCCUCUUCUGCUCCUUCUCCGCCCUUCUCAGCUUGUGAGGUGCCUUUGCCAACCCUGAGGCCACGGAGGCCUGUUAGCAACAGGAACAUUGCUCCCUGCAGCAGGCAAGGCAGGACAGGACAGAGGUGCACAGGGGUGGAGAAGGGCGUCCUUGGAGAGAAGGAUGGGAGAAGGGAGGAUGAGAAAAAGUGGAAGGGCAGAAUUACACUUCUAAACACCCUAGAAUUCUUUAGCACUCCAGAAUAGCCCCUUUUCUCUUACUUUUCAAAGUUAAUUACCAUACUUAUUGAGAGGCAACUCUUAUUAAUCCACAUGCUUUUGCCUUUACUGUUAAAAGACAUAAAAUUUGUUUUCCAUAUGGAAUGGAAAUGGAAAUAUGUUCAACUAUUGCAGGACAAGCUCACACAUUAAUGUAGCAGGCUCUGAAACAUCUCAACUCUAUUCUCCUGACAUGCAGUCAAUUGUUCAUUAAGGAGAAGGUAGCUAUAUUUUAAAGAACUUACAUUUAAAAGGAAGUAUUUUCUUUUUUUAAAGGAAAACUCUUGUAUGCAUACAGUUACAGAGAAUGUAUUCAUUUAUAUAUCUUUCAUAUAAUUAAAUGAUAUUCGUAGAAGAGUCCUAAUAUGUAAAAUAUGCUUGUUUAGACAUUUAUGAAAUGCAGUGACUAAUAAUUUUCAAGAUUUUCUAAUGGAUGUUUCCUAUUGUUCAAGCAAUGCAGAAGGGAUAUAUUUCCUGCCAUUUUACAAAAUGCAAAAUAUUUUCCCAGUGCAAGUUCUACAUUUGCUCUUUCUCCCUAACACUUUCUGGCAGGGAGGAAAAGAUGUCAACAGUUCAUGUAGAGCAUGCAAGAAAAAUUUCCAGUGUGAUUAUGUACUCUCGGUAUUUCAGCAGUCUGGAGAAGAAUUCUGUAUAUUCAUGCACUGAUAUAGACAAAUUGUUAUUUUUAUUGCCUUCAAGCUGUUCAAUGACAUCAUAUACCUAUCCACAAACAAUUGUAAUCACUUUGGAUUUAUAAUUCAUUGUUCAUUAGAAGUUUAGUAUAACUUGGUUUUCUUUCUCAGAAACAAGACUUUGCAAGUUUGACCUGAGGAUAAAAUACACUGAAAGAAACUUUACUACAGUAUGGAAAUCAAACCUUCAGAACUAAAAUUCCAGCAACAACAGUUUUCCAAGAUGUUUUGCAUCUUAUUGUCUAAUUUAUUUUAUUUAAUUAUGUGUUUCAAUAGGUAUACUACUUUUUACAGAACUUUUGGGUAUCUGAGUUUCCUUUGCAGUUUAAUAGGACUCCAAAGUAGUCAGAAGUCCAAGUCUUAAUUUUGUCUCGAAAGUCAACAUCCAAAUGCACAAAAAAAUGGGCUUUGGCUUUUAAAUGUAGUAUUUUGUUUGAGCAGAAGCUGCAAACAUUUUUUCAAAUAUCAAUCUGUUGGCUAAGACAUAAUGUUGGUGCAGGGGUUUGUGAAUAGUUUCCCUGUGAAAUAUCUUUUUGUAAUGUGAGACCUUUUCUUCAGGAUUGCUUUUGGUCCAGCAAAGACAUCCUGGGCUGUAAGGAAACCUUUAAAAUCUCCUCUGGACCCUGGAAGUCUUUGCUUUAGUAACCUCCAAGGCCUGGUCCCUAAGGGACCUGCUCCCAAGCUCACAAAAUUUUGGUGGGUAUGCAGGCUUAGCUGGCUCCCCCACAUCCUCUCUCUUGAUGUGCUCUUGAAGCCUCCCUUCCAGUGAGUGUUUCAUUGCCUUUAGGAAAAGGGAAACUCAUCUCCCUGUGAAGGGAGCAGCACACACUGAAAACAGUGCACUGCCAGCAGGAUAUGGUGAGCAGAAGCCUUCCUUGUCACCUUUGUGCACUAUGUUAGAAGGAAAGGCCACUGGUAUGAGCAAAAUAAAACAAGUGUCAUCCAUCAUAUCUUGAAACAAGUCCAGUAGCAUGGUCAUUGUAUUAGAACAAUUGGAAUUACACAUUUACAAAACCAGCAUUUAUUUUUUGCCAGCUGACUUUUAUUUGAAACCAAAAUCCACAACUGGUAUAGACUAUCACAAAGAAAAAUAAUGCAUGUAGAAAAGAAGAUGGAAUAAAAGGGGUACUCCAAACCCUUACCAUACUGAACUUCUUCAUGAUGCUUGACUUGUUUAUUUUUUUUCCAUUACUUUUUUGCUUCCAUGCAAUUACAGUUCCUGUGUGAACUAGCAGUUGUCACUGCUGCUUUUACAGCAGCACCUUAAAGAUUCACUGUUUCAUUUGGGGUAAAGCAAAUCCAAGAACUUCAUCUUGGCAAAGCCUCUGAAAAUUUACAGUGAACUUGUGUGCUCUGCUUUUAAACAUAGGCAGCAAUAUACUUUGGAACAUUCUAUAUUAAAAUUUCAGCAGUGAUUAUUUACUCACUGACCACAAAUGCUCCAUAAAUAUCUUUGAACAGUAACUGCUGUGCAAGAGUUGGACUGAGAUGUUCAAACUUGCAAACUGACGUCCAAAUAUCACUGGCAGAGAUAUAUUGGGAGAGGCAGUGGGAGAACAGUUAUUCCCUUAUGCUCAGUGCAUACUUUUCUGUAGGUUUUGAUUGUGUAUGAAACAAAUGUAUGCUACUAAUUACUGUCAUCUGGUCCUGGUGUUAGCUGCUACUCCAGGUUGUUUCACUAACCUCACAGCCCUGGGCUAGGGUUGGUAUCCUCAGCAUGUGCCCAGUUCAGUGGGGGCUGACACAGCCAGCAAUGGCACUGAAGUGCUUGACCUUCCUUCUGCAGUAGGAGCAUCACUGUGGUUUCACUCUGUUAAUAAUAACUUCCACUGACUCAGGCUUUUUUUUUUUUAACCUCAGAGGUGUGAGGGAACUUCAAGUCUUCCCUGUUCAGACCCUAAAGAAGCAUCUGAGAGUCUUGGUGGUUUGUGAGGAACAAGAAGGUGAUAUGUAAGCAGACCAGGAUCAUCUACAUGGUGGCUGCUUCUUGCUGCUGCCCCUAUGAAUUUUAUGUUUUAGAGCAAAAAGCAUGGCAGUAUAAUGGCUUAUGUGAGCGUUUACAUGAACACAAGCACAUGUCUGCACUCAGCAUAGUUUGAAUUAAGACUGCUGUCCAAGUAAAUGGCAUAUACUACCUAUGAGCACUGGGAAGUAUCUUGGAAGAUAUUCCAAAUCUUGUCAGGCCAACUUUAGAUAAGGGCUGGGUGUGAAAGCAAUGACCCACCAGAUACAGGCUGUGGCAGCCCCAGGAGGUGAAUCAGGAGUGGCAGCACUGUGCCCCAGUCUGGACCUCUGCCUGCUGGGACCUGAAGGAUAGGGCUUAAGAAGGAAGACAAUGGUGGGUAAAAGGCUGGGAGAAAUGCUUCCUUAGUUCCUUCCUCCCUCAUUCCUUCCCUAGGAACCCUUGUAUGGAGAAGUGUGAUACUGGAUUUCUUUCAGAGGCCUCAGAGGCUAUGGUUUCGGUAAAGCUAUACUGGGAUAUUACCAAGAAAACAUCAGUGAAAAUAUCCAUUUUAAGCCACUAGAAUAUAUUGAAACAUUGCAUUUUAAUUACUUGUAAUAGCUAAUUUGUUUAUCUACACAAAAGGUUAGCUGCAAUUUCAAAGCUAGUUCUAUUAGAUUUUAUAUAAUGAGACAUUUUAUUACAUUAUAGGACAGCAGACCCUGUUUUUUUGUGUGUUGUUUCAAGUGCUUUACUUUGCUAUUGAGGCCUUGCCAUCACACCAUCUUGGUGUCUGUAAUCUGUUCUGUGGGGCCAAAAUGAUGGGCAUCAAAGGACUCCUUUUUUUUUUUUUUUUUUUUUUUUUCAUUGUUACAAAGGUUUUGAGAAAAUUUCUGGUAUUUUUGUACAGGAAACUUAAUAGGAGACAAAGCAAUAAUAAGCUGAAAAAUAAAAAGCUCUUUCUCAAGUAGCAUAAUAUCACUCUAACCUCAGGCUGUAUCACAGUGAAAAUUACUACUUAGGGUCUUUUAUUAAAAUAUUUUUUAUCAAUCUGCUUAUUACAUUAUACGAAAAAAGGUUAAAAGUGACGUGUUUGCAUUGUCUGCCACAGACGUACCAUUUUCUCUGACAGACAUCUGUUACUCAAUUAUCAUUUUCUCACAUUUCUUAAUUUUCUAGUCCAACUCUUAAUAAGGUCUCCAGCAUGGAAGGUUCUGUUCAGCAGCAGUCUGGGAAAUAUUCUCCUGCUCUUUUGCAGAGAGGACUUGGUCUCCAUUAAAAGAAAUUAUAAAGUUUGUGCCCUAAUAGUUCACAAUUCUCAAAAACAUGCUGCUAUUUUAAUGUUCAUGAUAUUUUCCCCCUAAAUAUUUAGCCUGUGCCAUGGCAACAGCUGCUUUUAAGUUCUAAAGUUGUUUUCCCAUCCUUCACUUAAGAAAAAAAAUGUUAGUUUCAAUUUAUUCCCCUUAAAUGUAAAAUUCAGUAUUUUAAACUUUUAUUAACUAUAAACAGCUAUACCAAUGGUUUGUGAUCUGCUUUGGAUUCUCUAUGCAAAUGGAAAUUACUAUAUUGAUUGCUAUUCAUUAUGAAGAGGCACCUAAAACUAUAGGAUAAAGGCAAAUAAAAAGUAUGUACAAUAUGUGUUGUAGGUAUUUUGGAAAGGGGAUGACAAGUAGAGGGUAAGUAGCAAAAUUAGUAUUCCCAGUACAUAUUUAAAAAUCAAGAAGCAUGCUAAAAAUAAUUGUAUCAUAACAGGGACAAUCAGUGGUCCAAUUUUUUCCAGUGCAUGAGUGUGAAGCGGAUUGAAUAACUGAAUGUACAAAUUCUUGAUACUAACAGCUGAACAUUUUAUUGCCCAAGACAGGGCUAAGGAAAAGGACAUUAAAGAUCCUUAAAUGUAACUAUUAACAAAUGUACCACAAUUAAUUGUUACUACUGCCAUUAUUGCUAGUAUAUUUGAAGAGUGCUGGAAGUAAAAUGUAGUGGAUUCCACAAUAGGUACUUCCUGAGUGCAUUUGGAUGAUUUCUUACCUUGGUCAAAAUAAGAACAGACUUAAUUCUGAUGCAGAAAUCCUACAUUCCUUUUUAGAGUCGUCUGAUUAGCAAGAAAAUCAGUCAAACAAAUUUAAUGAAAAAAGUGCAUGCAAGUCUUUUGCCUACGUAAGCAAUACACAGGAUCUUAAUGGGUGUUUUAUUAAAAAAUAAACUGUUCUACUCAAAUUCUGACUAUCAACUGAUUACUAAUGGCUGAUGGAGAACAAAAAGAUUUAUAAUUGGAUUGUGCUUAUUAGCAAGAAACUACACCUUCCCACAAGAGGAACAUAUAUAAUAGACAUACAGAUAUCUCAUAACAGUUUAUUCUAUACCACACCUUCCCCUAUUUGUUUUAAAGUGAGAGUAUGAAUCUAUACAUGCCACUGUGUCUAUUGAUUUGCACAGAACCCGCUGGAUUGCUUGAUCCAGGAAGUAACCAUAUCAUUAAAGUUACAGUUUGUCAUAUGUACAUCCUCCUCUGAAUCAGGGCUGCUAGCAUUGAAUAGGACUAGGAAUUGAUACUAAACACUAUGUCUUCUUUGUAGAAAAUUCCUGAUAAAAUACUUAUUAUGCUUCUCUUAUCUUAAUGCUUUUUCAAUGUUUUAAGCAAUUUCUGUUACAGUUUUUUUCCUGCUGGAAAGUAUAAUUGCAGGUUUUCUUCCUUUUCUGGUGCAAGGCUUACAAACACAUUCUUUAAGAUCAUUACAUUAUCUCAAGUACCUUUAAAAAGCUUCCCUCUGAUCAGCUCAAUGUUCUAUGUAUUGUAGGAGAUACAGAUAAUAGAGUUAUUCACAUAAAUUUGCAUUAGUGAUACUGAAUUUCCUUAAAAGA